rnacentral:rRNA from 1 species
UACGUAGGGGGCAAGCGUUAUCCGGAUUUACUGGGUGUAAAGGGAGCGCAGGCGGAUGGCUAAGUCUGAUGUGAAAGCCCGGGGCUCAACCCCGGGACUGCAUUGGAAACUGGUUAUCUUGAGUGUCGGAGAGGUAAGUGGAAUUCCUAGUGUAGCGGUGAAAUGCGUAGAUAUUAGGAGGAACACCAGUGGCGAAGGCGGCUUACUGGACGACAACUGACGCUGAGGCUCGAAAGCGUGGGGAGCAAACAGG